CGCUGGCGGCGUGCUUAACACAUGCAAGUCGAACGGUGAACCAGGGCUUGCCCUGGGGAUCAGUGGCGAACGGGUGAGUAACACGUGGGCAACCUGCCCCUGACUCUGGGAUAACUCCUCGAAAGAGGUGCUAAUACCGGAUACGACCACUUCGGGCAUCCGAUGGUGGUGGAAAGAAUUUUGGUCAGGGAUGGGCCCGCGGCCUAUCAGCUUGUUGGUGGGGUAACGGCCCACCAAGGCGACGACGGGUAGCCGGCCUGAGAGGGCGACCGGCCACACUGGGACUGAGACACGGCCCAGACUCCUACGGGAGGCAGCAGUGGGAAUAUUGCGCAAUGGGCGAAAGCCUGACGCAGCGACGCCGCGUGAGGGACGACGGCCUUCGGGUUGUAAACCUCUUUCAGCAGGGACGAAGCGAAAGUGACGGUACCUGCAGAAGAAGCACCGGCUAACUACGUG
rnacentral:rRNA from 1 species